CCAUGCACGUCUCAGUGCAAGCCAAAUUAAGGUGAAACCACGAAUGGCUCAUUAAAUCAGUUAUGGUUCAAUAGAUCUUACCACAACGAUGGAUACCUGUGGUAAUUCUAGAGCUAAUACAUGCAAAAGUGCGUCCCGACCAGAAAUGGAAGGGAUGGCUUUUAUCAGAUCAAAACCAAUGGGCCGGCUCGUCCGGUCCUCUGACUUUUGAUGACUCUGGAUAACUAUAUGCUGAUCGCACGGUCCUAGUACCGGUGACGUAUCUUGCAAAUGUCUGCCCUAUCAACUGUCGAUGGUAGUUUCUAUGACUACCAUGGUUGUAACGGGUGACGGGGAAUCAGGGUUCGAUUCCGGAGAGGGAGCCUGAAAGACGGCUACCACAUCUAAGGAAGGCAGCAGGCACGCAAAUUACCCACUCCCGGCACGGGGAGGUAGUGACGAAAAAUAACGAUACGGGACUCAUUCGAGGCCCCGUAAUCGGAAUGAGCACAACUUAAACGCUUUAACGAGUAUCCAUUGGAGGGCAAGUCUGGUGCCAGCAGCCGCGGUAAUUCCAGCUCCAAUAGCGUAUAUUAAAGUUGUUGCGGUUAAAAAGCUCGUAGUUGGACUUGUGUCCCACGCUGUCGGUUCACCGCUCGUCGGUGUCAAACUGGCAUGCUAGUGCGGACGUCCUGCCGGUGGAUGCGGUCGUCCGUGGUCCUGCGACUCCUAACGGGGUCUGCGGUUCUGCGCGGCGGCGGUCCUACUAUAAUCCUACCGCGGUGCUCUUAACCGAGUGUCGAGGUGGGCCGGCAAAUUUACUUUGAACAAAUUAGAGUGCUUAAAGCAGGCAGUGGUAGCCUGAAUAUUGUGUGCAUGGAAUAAUGGAACAGGACCUCGGUUCUGUUUUGUUGGUUUUUACGGAACCCCGAGGUAAUGAUUAACAGGAGCAGACGGGGGCAUUCGUAUUGUGACGUUAGAGGUGAAAUUCUUGGAUCGUUGCAAGACGAACAAAAGCGAAAGCAUUUGCCAAGGAUGCUUUCAUUAAUCAAGAACGAAAGUUAGAGGUUCGAAGGCGAUCAGAUACCGCCCUAGUUCUAACCGUAAACUAAUGCCAGCCAGAAAUACGCCGAUGUUCAUAACAUGACUCGGUGGGCUUCUUACGGGAAACCAAAAGCUUUUGGGUUCCGGGGGAAGUAUGGUUGCAAAGCUGAAACUUAAAGGAAUUGACGGAAGGGCACCACCAGGAGUGGAGCCUGCGGCUUAAUUUGACUCAACACGGGAAACCUCACCAGGCCCGGACACCGGAAGGAUUGACAGAUUGAGAGCUCUUUCUUGAUUCGGUGGAUGGUGGUGCAUGGCCGUUCUUAGUUGGUGGAGUGAUUUGUCUGGUUAAUUCCGAUAACGAACGAGACUCUGGCCUACUAACUAGUCGCUAUAGGUAUCCUGAGUUAUACCAGCGACAAAAAAUGACUCUUCUUAGAGGGACAAGCGACUUCUAGUCGCAUGAGAAUGAGCAAUAACAGGUCUGUGAUGCCCUUAGAUGUCCUGGGCCGCACGCGCGCUACACUGAAGGAGUCAGCGUGUCUUCCUAGCCCGAGAGGGCCGGGUAACCCGUUGAAACUCCUUCGUGCUAGGGAUUGGGGCUUGCAAUUGCUCCCCAUGAACGAGGAAUUCCCAGUAAACGCGAGUCAUAAGCUCGCGUUGAUUACGUCCCUGCCCUUUGUACACACCGCCCGUCGCUACUACCGAUUGAAUGAUUUAGUGAGGUCUUCGGACCGGCGCGCGAUGGACCCCUGACCGGGACCGUUGAUGUUGCUGGAAAGAUGACCGAACUUGAUCAUUUAGAGGAAGUAAAAGUCGUAACAAGGUUUCCGUAGGUGAACCUGCGG
rnacentral:rRNA from 1 species